rnacentral:lncRNA from 1 species
CCAGAAUUCCACAGCAGCCGUAGUGUCCACCAGAGCACUAUUGCUCGUCUUUUUGGUGAUAACACGUAUGUUAAUCCACUGCCCAGUUCUGCAUCCUCUGUUUGACAGUGUGUGGGGGUGUUUAAUGUAACAGAACAGAUGUUCGUGGUGGCUCAGUGUCAGGCCUGUGUGAUAAAGACUUGUAUUGUGGCUGUAUCACUUUAACGUCAGUAAAUCCUCCAGUUAAAUAACCUACGAGGAUGCAGCUACACUUGUGUUUCUAUACGUGUUUGUGUCAGCGUGACAGUAAAAGUCUGUGUUGGAUCUACUCUCUCAUCUACUGUAUGUCAGCAUAGUGCUGAAAAAUGGUUUUGAACAACCAGGCAGGUUCAAAUUCUGUGACGGAAGUGUGUGCUCACCAGCAAUAAUAUUCAUCAAGAUACAGGUUUAAUUUUCAUAUUCAUCAUUUCUAUUACUGUUACUGUGGUUUCUAUAUAUGCGAGUAUUUCUUUUGGCUUAGACACUCUGUUUCCUAGUCAAUUUAACUGCGGUAAAUAUUUCCUGCUUUGUUCACGCCAACACUCUGCUGUUUUCUGCGUUCCCUCAUUUCUUUCUUUGCAAAUCUAGAUGUCCUGCUCAAUGAUACAUUUGUCCGUAAUUGUACCAGUAUUUUACAUUAUGUCUAAAUCUAAUGGGUCAGAUCUUGGUAUUAAAUCCCUGGUUUCAUCCAUUAGACUUAGCGUCAAUUCAAUUCAAUUCAAUUCAAUUCAAUUCAAUUCAAUUCAAUUCAAUUCAAUUCAAUUCAAUUCAAUUCAAUUCAAUUCAAUUCAAUUUAAUUCAAGUCAAUUUCAAUGCCAACUCAAAACAAAAUUAUCUCAAAGCAAGGUAAGGUUUAAAACCAUACACAACUAAACCCAAGAAAUUCAUCUUAAAAAUUAAAAAAGUAAACUUAAUGUCAAGCCACAUUUUAAAACAAGUUGUGCAGAGACAACAAUAACUUCAGUUCAUGUUUUUUGGCUUUGGCCUUUGGAUAGAAAGUGUAUUUUAGAAUACUAACUGUAAACAGGAACCAUCUCUUAUCUCUCUCUUACCUUACCUCUCUUAUCAGCUCUUCACAAUAUGCUUUUACAAUGACAAAAUAAAUAAAAUAUAUGAAAAUAUCA